UACGAAGGGGGCUAGCGUUGUUCGGAUUUACUGGGCGUAAAGCGCACGUAGGCGGAUUGGUCAGUUAGGGGUGAAAUCCUGGAGCUCAACUCCAGAACUGCCUUUAAUACUGCCAGUCUCGAGUCCGGAAGAGGUAAGUGGAACUCAUAGUGUAGAGGUGGAAUUCGUAGAUAUUAGGAAGAACACCAGUGGCGAAGGCGGCUUACUGGUCCGGUACUGACGCUGAGGUGCGAAAGCGUGGGGAGCAAACAGG
rnacentral:rRNA from 1 species